CACACACUGGAAUAUUAUUCAACCUCGAGACAGGAGAAAAUAAUGCUGUCAUAUGUGAAACAUGGGUGGACCUUGAGGACAUUACGCUGAGACAGAGAAAGACCAACCCUGCAUGAUGUCCCUUAUAGGUGGAAUCUGAAACAAACAAACAAAACAAAAAGGACUAAAAAAACAAGGAGUGGGCUGGUGGUUUACCCAAGGCUGAUGGGUGGGGACAGGAGAGUGUGAAGGGCACAUACUUGCAACUAGUAGGUCAAUGAUUCCUGGAGGCACAGUACGCAGGACCGGGU